GGGGGAGUAGCUCAACGGUCAGAGCGGCCGGCUUAUAUCCGGCUGGUUCCUGGUUCGAAUCCAGGCUCCCCUACCA
rnacentral:tRNA from 1 species